GGCCUCUCAGGGCUGCGAUUGGAGUUUCCAGUAUUUUACCAAUCUCAACUACAGGAGGGAGAGUCAAGCAGAGGCCGACCCAUUCCAUUCCUAGCUUGGCCAGUGGCUAGAGAGUGGAAGACAAUCUGCCACAAGU